rnacentral:rRNA from 1 species
CCCGGGGUCUUGUACACACCGCCCGUCACACCAUGGGAGCGGGAUGUACCAGAAGUAGGUAGGCUAACCGCAAGGGGGCCGCUUACCACGGUGCGUUUCGUGACUGGGGUG